rnacentral:rRNA from 1 species
CCUACGGGAGGCAGCAGUAGGGAAUAUUGCUCAAUGGGGGAAACCCUGAAGCAGCAACGCCGCGUGGAGGAUGAAGGUUUUCGGAUUGUAAACUCCUUUUGUUAGAGAAGAUAAUGACGGUAUCUAACGAAUAAGCACCGGCUAACUCCGUGCCAGCAGCCGCGGUAAUACGGAGGGUGCAAGCGUUACUCGGAAUCACUGGGCGUAAAGGGCGCGUAGGCGGGAUAGCAAGUCAGGUGUGAAAUCGUAGGGCUUAACCAUAGAACUGCAUUUGAAACUGUUAUUCUAGAGUAUGGGAGAGGUAGGUGGAAUUCGUGGUGUAGCGGUAAAAUGCGUAGAGAUGAAGAGGAAUACUCAUUGCGAAGGCGACCUGCUAGAGCAUAACUGACGCUGAUGCGCGAAAGCGUGGGGAGCGAACAGGAUUAGAUACCCUAGUAGUC